rnacentral:rRNA from 1 species
UACAGAGGUCUCAAGCGUUGUUCGGAUUCAUUGGGCGUAAAGGGUGCGCAGGCGGCGCGGUAAGUCGGGUGUGAAAUCUCGGAGCUUAACUCCGAAACUGCAUUCGAUACUGCCGCGCUUGAGGACUGGAGAGGAGACUGGAAUUUACGGUGUAGCGGUGAAAUGCGUAGAUAUCGUAAGGAAGACCAGUGGCGAAGGCGGGUCUCUGGACAGUUCCUGACGCUGAGGCACGAAGGUCAGGGGAGCAAACGGG